rnacentral:lncRNA from 1 species
GCGCUACUCCCCUGAGCCACUGCAGGACAUCAUUGGCCUUUUAUCAAUUAGAUAUUGCUCGCCUCCUUUUGAAAAAGGUCAAAGGUAAUCGAGGAGGGUCGGCGACGAGAGUGAACCAAGGGACCAGGGUUCCGGUCGAGGAACACUGUUUUGACUGCUCCUACAGUUUUGAAUUCAAAACUCUUCCACGGCAGGUUACACAUGCGUGUCCUCGAUGAAAGGUGCCUGUCGAGGUGGGGAGGACACUCUUCCGUUUGAACGAAAUGUCACAUACUUCAACCACUGGACCUCUUAUCUGUUUCUGGCCUCACCCACAAUGAGCACUACUCUGACCUCUCUUGGAGAUGAAAAGGAAUGCUUGUAUAGCCAAUAUUUUGUUUCGUCUCCGAACGAUUUAUUAAUCCGUGUGAUCCUGACAAUAGCUAACUGGUGGCUACACAGCGGAUAUAACGUUAACUAAACGAGCCAUGUAAGCUAGCUGGGAGUGGGAGCCAGGGAUGUGCGUCUGUUGAAGUGCAGUGCUUGCUAGCAACUCGUAUUUCCACCAGGAUUCAAAAGAAGUCUACUAAUACGGAGCUGGCAACAUCACUCAAGUUAACUAGGUAGCGUUACCUAACUAUAAUAGCCAUUUUAGAUGGCAAACUAAACCAAAGAUAGUGGAUAAGUGAUAAUUAAAUCAGGUAUUUUACUAUUGAAAAACAAUGGUCAGUUCCGGUCUACUUAACAGGGCGUAUAGACUAAUGCAACAGCAGCGGGGUCUGGUCUACUUAGUUUAUUGACUUUAAUUGAACCAGAAAAAAACAGCGAGUGGGGUGUCUCGCUUCCUCUUCCUUCUUUGACUAAAUUAUAAACCAAUGACUGGGCCUCGGUACACUAGCUCUGCCUGGAAAGGAGCACUAAUUAGCUAGUUUAUUCUGAAUUAAUGUCUAAAAUAAGUGGUCAGCUAGCAAGUCCUAUCAAGUGUGUGAGCCAUAUCAGGUUCAGCCCUGUUGAAGCAACAUAGCUAGCUAAAUUCAACUUGAUUUGAGAGAGAACCUCAGU